rnacentral:rRNA from 1 species
AGGGAAUCUUCGGCAAUGGGCGAAAAGCCUGACCGAGCGACGCCGCGUGAGGGAAGAAGGCCUUCGGGUCGUAAACCUCUGUCCUUGGGGAAGAAGGUGACGGUACCCAAGGAGGAAGCCCCGGCUAACUACGUGCCAGCAGCCGCGGUAAUACGUAGGGGGCGAGCGUUGUCCGGAAUUACUGGGCGUAAAGGGUGCGUAGGCGGCCAUUUAAGUCUUGUGUGAAAGGCCCCGGCUUAACCGGGGAGCUGCAUGGGAAACUGGAUGGCUUGAGUGCUGGAGAGGGUUGCGGAAUUCCCAGUGUAGCGGUGAAAUGCGUAGAUAUUGGGAGGAACACCAGUGGCGAAGGCGGCAACCUGGACAGUAACUGACGCUGAGGCACGACAGCUGGGGGAGCAAAC